UACGUAGGGAGCAAGCGGUUGUCCGGAAUCAUUGGGCGUAAAGCGCGUGUAGGCGGCCCGGUAAGUCCGCUGUGAAAGUCAAAGGCUCGAACCUUUGAAUGUCAGCGGAUACUGCCGGGCUAGAGUCCGGAAGAGGCGAGUGGAACUCCGUGGUGUAGCGGUGGAAUGCGCAGAUAUCUGGAGGAACACCGGUGGCGAAGGCGGGUCAUCGGCGGACCGAGUACGUCGAGCAGCAAUGACG
rnacentral:rRNA from 1 species